rnacentral:rRNA from 1 species
AAACUUUCAACAACGGAUCUCUUGGUUCUGGCAUCGAUGAAGAACGCAGCGAAAUGCGAUACGUAAUGUGAAUUGCAGACAGUGAAUCAUCGAAUCUUUGAACGCACAUUGCACUGAGUGGUAUUCCACUCAGUAUGCCUGUUUGAGCGUCAU